GUGCCCGUAGCCCAAUUGGAUAGAGCGUCAGACUACGGAUCUGAAGGCUGAGGGUUCGAAUCCUUCCGGGCACACCA
rnacentral:tRNA from 1 species